UGGAAAACCAUCCUACCGCCACUUCUUCAUCACUGUCUCAGAUGGAGACCGGCCUCCGACAAGCUCGUCGAGUUCAGUGUUGCUUUGCUUGCCCUCACCAUAUCGCUGUGCUCUGUUGCUUCUACACUACCUGUUCUUCUCGUGCUGCGAUUUCGUGCUGAGUCUCGUGCGAGUAGUGCCACCGCGACAGUCGUUUGUAGAUGUCUCGUUGUUCAAAAGAGGCUGGUGUGAAGAGGAGUUCGGAUCAGAGGGGGGAGCACUUUGUUAAGCUGAGGGUGUCGUGGGUUGAGCGGACUGCAGCGUGAGUGCAAGUUUUGGAGGAUUCAGCGUCAAGGCCUUGACGGGAUCUGAAGCGAUAAGGAGAUAACAGCCAUACCUGGACGAAGAUGGUGUCGUGUGGGGCAGUUCAAAUCCAGGUGUAGGGGGUGCUUUGCUGAGGAUGUCGUGGGUUGAGGGGAUUGUAGCGUGAGUGCAAGUGUUGGAGGAUUAUAGCCUCAAGGCAUCGACGAGAUUUGAAACGAUACAAUGACAACAGCUCUACCUGGCCGGUGCGCAUGAAAUCUUGUCUAUGCUGAAUUGCAUGUAUGGGUGAGGGUUUGCGGCGAGGCUCGAUGCGGAGUUUCACAACAUUAGUUGGUGGGUAAUGAAGUAGUUGCUUUACACGGGUGUGCAUAGGUUUUGCAGUCGUGGUUGAUGCCUUGUCACGAUUACAUGUGAUAGAGGGCAUGCGAGGUGUGUUUGUGAGUUUUGGUGUGGUUGUGUUGAUCGUGUGGGACAAAGGGGCGGUUGUUGUGGAUUUUGUAGAAGAUUGGGUUUGAUGUGAAUUGUAGAAAUUUAUUGUAAUAUUGAUUUGUAUGAAGGAACUAACUUGCAUUACAUAGAAAUCAUUGAUAGUGAAGGCAUUGGAUGCUAUGUGGAAAAAAUAAUGCUAGCGAUAUUUAGUUAUAAAUCUAGGUGUGAGCAUUUGAUGAGUCAUUCAAAUGAAGUGACUAUUUAUUAUGGUGAUUGUUUUAACAUUAGAUAUUUAUAGUAUAAAAUAUUGACAAUAAAGAAUAUUCAUGUGAGAUUGUGAGAUUAGAUAUUUGUAGUAUAAAAUAUUGACAAUAAAGAAUAUUCAUGUGAGAUUGUGAGAUUAGAUAUUUGUAGUAUAAAAUAUUGACAAUAAAGAAUAUUCAUGUGAGAUUGUGAGAAUCUAUAAGAAAAUGUGGAGGUAAUUUAAAUUGAAUUUAAUAAGUUACAAAAUGUGUUGUUUACUUUUGCAUGAAUAGUAUUUUUGUAUUUUGUGUAGAGUGAAAAUGAAAUGUAUAUAACUAAGUAAAGUUUGACAAGAAAUGAAUCUAUAAUUUUUAUAUGAUGGUAAUGCCUCAUGAAUUCAAAAGCUUGUAUAGAAUAGAAGAAGAAUUGAUUAUGAAAACAUGGGAUAUUAAUGGCAAGUGAAUAAAGAAGGAUAUAUGAAGGGUAGAUUGAAAAGAGCAUGUGUAGGAUUAAAUGGUAAGUGUAAUUCAUUAUGAAGAAGAGUGUAUAAUUUAGCACUUCAUGUAGCGAUUAUGUUUGUAUGAUUUUAAGUUCAAUUUAUAAAAUUAGAAAUCCUUCAUACAAGUAUUUAAAGUAUUUAGAAUUGUAAGUUUUGACAUAUUAGUAAAGUGGAUUUUGGACAUCA